GCUGUCGUCAGAGAGUCUAGUUUAAUGACAUGUGUAUGUUUUAGUGCUCCAAACUGAGGAAGUGUGUGUUUCUGACUAAAACUGGUCCAUGUGACCAUCAGAAUACAUGUUACAGCUAAUAGACCAAUCAAAUCAGUCCACAGCUUCAAAUCAUCCAAUCAGGUGUGAGUCUGGACCUGGUUUUGUACUGAACACACAAGUUCAUUAGAUCACUUGGUGUGAACAGGAACGAUGAUCAGACUCGUUGUCGCUCUUUGUGCUCUUUUUUCUCUCUUCACAGCUGUGAAAACUUCUGACAUCAAGGAGAUUGAUGUGAUAACAGUAAAGCGUGGAGAAGAUGUAACUAUGAAGUGUUACAUUAGCAGUGUCACAAAGAAAGAAGUAUUUUGGUACAGAGAGAUUUCAGGACAAUUACCUCAGCAUUUUGCAAAACCGGACCAGAACGAUUCGGGCUACAGAUUUACUGAUGGAUUUAAUGAUGCUCGUUUCAGUAUUAGUGUAAAUGACAAAUUUGAUCUCAAUAUUAAAAAAACAAGAGAAUAUGAUGAAGGAGAAUAUUUCUGUGGAGAAAUGGAAGGAAGUAGAGUGAAGUUCACAUCUGGAACACGUCUACAAUUUUCAGACACGACACACCGUCCAACAUCUGGAACUACACACAGAGAUUCAUCCAUCAGCACAGAAACAUGUGAGAGCUGUACUGCUAACAUGUGUGUGUUCUUCUGGCUCUCCAUUACAAGAAGCGGAGUUCUCAGUGUUACAGUUAUUAUAACUACAAUAUGUCCGUCUGGCUCAGUUUCCCACUGCUGUAUAAUGUUAGACUCCUUCUGAGAGGUCGAGAGACACUUUAGAGAGAUGUAGCGAUGGCAGAUACGGCAAAGGAAAGCCGGCACAGCCAGUGUCAGUCACAUGGGUUCAUCUGACUCAUCUACAUGGAGGUCUACAUGAUGCAGGCACAAGUUAAAAAACAGCAUGUGUCAAAUUUGUCAAUAAUUUAUCAUUUAAGAAGUUUUUUUUUACUCAUGCAACAGCUCCCCUUAUGAUUCUGAUUUUUCUUUUUUAUUCUGGAGAGUGAGAUCAUUAGGGGAUUAUAACAUGGACUAAUGUACAGGUGGAUACUGUGUGCAGC